AAUACACAAGAAGUGCAGCAAGGGAGGAAGGAGUGGUGAAGAUCGAGAGGGCAGUCCGACAGCCAAGAGAAUCACCCGAGCAAAGGCUAUCUCCGCAAGUUAAGGGUGGAGUCAGGAAAAUUCAAGUUAAGGAGUUUUAAGCGAACAAGGUUGAGCAGUGAUGACGGCGGGCGGUGUUGAGCAUAGACGAU